rnacentral:rRNA from 1 species
AGAGUUUGAUCCUGGCUCAGAUUGAACGCUGGCGGCAUGCCUUACACAUGCAAGUCGAACGGCAGCACGAGAGCUUGCUCUUGGUGGCGAGUGGCGAACGGGUGAGUAAUAUAUCGGAACGUACCCUAGAGUGGGGGAUAACGUAGCGAAAGUUACGCUAAUACCGCAUACGAUCUACGGAUGAAAGUGGGGGAUCGCAAGACCUCAUGCUCAUGGAGCGGCCGAUAUCUGAUUAGCUAGUUGGUGGGGUAAAAGCUCACCAAGGCGACGAUCAGUAGCUGGUCUGAGAGGACGACCAGCCACACUGGAACUGAGACACGGUCCAGACUCCUACGGGAGGCAGCAGUGGGGAAUUUUGGACAAUGGGCGCAAGCCUGAUCCAGCAAUGCCGCGUGAGUGAAGAAGGCCUUCGGGUUGUAAAGCUCUUUUGUCAGGGAAGAAACGGUGGACUCUAAUACAGAUCGCUAAUGACGGUACCUGAAGAAUAAGCACCGGCUAACUACGUGCCAGCAGCCGCGGUAAUACGUAGGGUGCAAGCGUUAAUCGGAAUUACUGGGCGUAAAGCGUGCGCAGGCGGUUGUGCAAGACAGAUGUGAAAUCCCCGGGCUCAACCUGGGAAUUGCAUUUGUGACUGCACGGCUAGAGUGUGUCAGAGGGGGGUAGAAUUCCACGUGUAGCAGUGAAAUGCGUAGAGAUGUGGAGGAAUACCGAUGGCGAAGGCAGCCCCCUGGGAUAACACUGACGCUCAUGCACGAAAGCGUGGGGAGCAAACAGGAUUAGAUACCCUGGUAGUCCACGCCCUAAACGAUGUCUACUAGUUGUCGGGUCUUAAUUGACUUGGUAACGCAGCUAACGCGUGAAGUAGACCGCCUGGGGAGUACGGUCGCAAGAUUAAAACUCAAAGGAAUUGACGGGGACCCGCACAAGCGGUGGAUGAUGUGGAUUAAUUCGAUGCAACGCGAAAAACCUUACCUACCCUUGACAUGUCUGGAAUCCUUGAGAGAUCAGGGAGUGCUCGAAAGAGAAUCAGAACACAGGUGCUGCAUGGCUGUCGUCAGCUCGUGUCGUGAGAUGUUGGGUUAAGUCCCGCAACGAGCGCAACCCUUGUCAUUAGUUGCUACGAAAGGGCACUCUAAUGAGACUGCCGGUGACAAACCGGAGGAAGGUGGGGAUGACGUCAAGUCCUCAUGGCCCUUAUGGGUAGGGCUUCACACGUCAUACAACGGUACAUACAGAGGGCCGCCAACCCGCGAGGGGGAGCUAAUCCCAGAAAGUGUAUCGUAGUCCGGAUUGUAGUCUGCAACUCGACUACAUGAAGUUGGAAUCGCUAGUAAUCGCGGAUCAGCAUGUCGCGGUGAAUACGUUCCCGGGUCUUGUACACACCGCCCGUCACACCAUGGGAGCGGGUUUCACCAGAAGUGGGUAGCCUAACCGCAAGGAGGGCGCUCACCACGGUGGGAUUCGUGACUGGGGUGAAGUCGUAACAAGGUA